GUGUCAGCAGCCGCGGUAAUACGUAGGGGGCGAGCGUUGUCCGGAGUUACUGGGCGUAAAGCGCACGCAGGCGGUCCAUCGCGUUGGGGGUGACAGCUCUCGGCUUAACCGAAAGAGCGCCUUCAAAACGGAUGGACUUGAGGCAUCGAGAGGGACACGGAAUUCCGGGUGGAGUGGUGAAAUGCGUAGAGAUCCGGAAGAACACCAAAGGCGAAGGCAGUGUCCUGGCGAUGAUCUGACGCUGAGGUGCGAAAGCUAGGGGAGCGAACAGGAUUAGAUACCCGUGUAGUCC
rnacentral:rRNA from 1 species